rnacentral:rRNA from 1 species
UACGUAGGGUGCGAGCGUUGUCCGGUAUUAUUGGGCGUAAAGGGCUCGUAGGCGGUUUGUCGCGUCGGGAGUGAAAACCUUGGGCUUAACUCAGGGCUUGCUUUCGAUACGGGCAGACUAGAGGUAUGCAGGGGAGAACGGAAUUCCUGGUGUAGCGGUGAAAUGCGCAGAUAUCAGGAGGAACACCGGUGGCGAAGGCGGUUCUCUGGGCAUGAUCUGACGCUGAGGAGCGAAAGUGUGGGGAGCGAACAGG